rnacentral:antisense_RNA from 1 species
AGUGUGUGCCUUACUAUGUGUGAGGAGGUGCUGUCUUGCUUUCAGUGUGUAAAUAUCAUGCCUUGAUGGAGAAACUGCAGCAGAGAGGCCCUGCUGCCCCAGCACAUCUGUCACAGCCCACACAACACCUCCAGAGUGAGAGCAACAAAUUCAACGAACUGCCAAGUUGUCUGUACCACCUGGGUGCAAGCAGGAAUGAAGAAACUGUGGCCCAGAGAGGUGAAACAACCCAGCCGAUGUCACGUCGUAGCUAAGAUGACAGCUAUUGGCCUGUACCUCGGCCCUCAAGUUUCCCAUGCAAUGUGCUUCCUACUAUUCAUUGUUGCCCCGUCUCUAGGUUGUUAUCAAAUGGACCCUGCCAGACUGAAUUUCUUCCUGCAAAGAGGACAGUCCAGGUCUGCUGAUGGGUUUCCAACACAGGAAACUCAGGGGUUCUAAUACCUCCUCUUGACCCAGUAACUGACAAGCCCUGAGCCUCAGGAUUCCUGGCCCUGUCCCCUCUCACCUCCUCUGCCAAACCAUGGUACUAGAAGAAAAUUACAAGAGAAAAUAUGACACAAAUUGUGAAAGUGGUAUACAGCAGCUCAGCUUUGGGAAACGUGAGUCCUGUCUGCUUAUGGAUGCAUUGAUUCAUGGGUAUUACACUUGUCUCCCAAGUUGCUUGCUGAUGCUUUCAAGGUCAGGUAAUAACAUUCUCCAAGGAACUAAGCGGAGUGGCUGACCUCAUUUCUCCCCUGACCUGCAGGCUGGCUGGCUGGUUGCCUUGCUUCUGGGAGAUGGCCAGGCAGCCUGUUGCUCCCUGUGCCCCUCACUGACCAGGCAGCUCACUCCCUUUGUGGCAGCCUCAUG